GGGAAUGCAACGGUUUCGACGGAUUGAAAGAUGGUUAGAACUGCAUAUAGUGUUUCUGCAACCACUUUAAAAAGGCAGAAAAACAAUAAACAACAACGUAGAUUAUAACUACGCUAUGGCUGCUUAAUCAUUAAGCGCCUCGUUUUAAAGAUUCCCGCUCAUCGGAGUUUUUAAAAUGUCAAUUAGAUGAGAUAGUUUUGAAAAUUGUCCGGGUUUUCAAAAUGAAACCUUACCGGAAUUGCAGCUGAUCAGGUAAGUCUGUUUGCCGGUUCACUGUGAAAUCAACCAACAGACUAUAUAUGUAGACGUUUUAAUGGUCUUCUUUUCGGACCCGAGUUCGACUCUCGGCAUUUCCAC
rnacentral:tmRNA from 1 species